AGUGAAGUGACAGGAAAAUGUAUUUGGUUUACUUGUAAACUGUGCUUACUAAAGCUGAGCUAAAACUUUUUUCAGGGGCAGGUACCUCUGAAGGAUGACCUAACUGAGCUAGCUGACCUAGUUUCCAGUUUUGGGAAGCAUAGAAGGAAGAAUCAGGGAUCUGUGGUC
rnacentral:lncRNA from 1 species